rnacentral:misc_RNA from 1 species
GAUGAAGAACGUAGCGAAAUGCGAUACUUGGUGUGAAUUGCAGAAUCCCGCGAAUCAUCGAGUUUUUGAACGCAAGUUGCGCCCGAAGCCAUUCGGCCGAGGGCACGUCUGCCUGGGUGUCACGCAUCGUUGCCCCCCCAAACUCCGGUUCGGGCGGGGCGGAAGUUGGCCUCCCGUGCGUGCCUGCGCGCGCGGUUAGCCCAAAAGCGAGUCCUCGGCGACGAGCGCCACGACAAUCGGUGGUUUUUUUACCCUCGUUCCUCGUCGUGCGUGCCCCGUCGCCCGAACGCGCUCUUGCGACCCUUACGCGUCGCCUCGGCGGCGCUCCCAACGCGACCCCAGGUCAGGCGGGACUACCCGCUGAGUUUAAGCAUAUAAUAAGCGGAGGA